AAGAUAAGAAAAGGAACAAAUGCUACGUACAUGCAUCAACCUUAUAGCAUCACGUCAUCCUUGCAAGGAAGACGCGUGUAGAAGUUGAUGAGGAGCUGGUUGGUCCUGCUCCGGAACCACGGGGGCAAGAGGAAGUAUAGCCCCGUCACCAUGGUCACCAACCGGAAUGGAGUCAAGUACAGUAUGAUGGCCAUCACCAACGAGAGGACAAUGAAGGCGGGAGUGACCCUGGGGUCUUGCCAGCUAAACAGCGACUGCGGGCGCUCCCCCUGCGCAGCCAGGUCGCCGACCACUAUGGCACUGUCUGCAUCGUGCCGGCGAUCCCCCUCAGUCGAUCAUACCUCACCUGCACAACAUCCUCCGGUUUGGACGUUGGGAAUGUGUCGAACUCCUCAUCAAGCUCGCCGGGGUACGCCAGAUCUGUGUACCACCACAGCACCGCAUUUAUGUGUGGCGGCUGCAACGUGCCGAACUCCUAGCUCAGCUCAUCCGCCGGGUGCGCGAGCUCCGCACGCGACAACACCCUGUCUAUCUGCGGUGGCUCCCGCGGCCGCUGUCGGUAGUUCCAUGCCCCGAUCAUGGUUAUGGAAAGGAACACGGUGGGCAGGAUCAGCUCCGGGCAGCACACCAGCUUCACGAAUACCACGUGCACCAGAAUCGUCUUCAGUGGCUUCUUCCACCUGCAUAUGUCGUCGAACCACUUCCCAACUGCCAGCACAUCGGAGAAGAGCGUGGUGAUCCUGCAGACAUUGGCCUUGCUCCGGCGCAGGCUGAACACGUGGGAGUCGAUGUCGAGCAUAUGUACUCCACCACCUCCCUCCGCAGCGGCGGAUCAGUCCUGGCAAGCCGCGCGGCCACCAUCUGCAUCGCCUGGAACAUGAGGUAGUUUUGUUGCGGCACGGAGAUAGGGUUGGUGUGGUGCAUCUUGGGGAGCAGUGGUUUGCCGUACAUGGCCAGCAGA
rnacentral:rRNA from 1 species